GGCCUAUUGAUAAUAAUUUUAGGUCUGACCUGCCCAAUGAUAAUUAUAUUAUUUAAUGGCCGCGGUAUUUUGACCGUGCAAAGGUAGCAUAAUCAUUAGUUUUUUAAUUGAAAGCUGGAAUGAAAGGUUUGAUGAAAAAAUAACUGUCUCUAUCUAAAUUUUUUAGAAUUUUAUUUUUAAGUAAAAAAGCUUAAAUAUUUAUAGAAGACGAGAAGACCCUAUAGAGUUUAAUAAUUGUUUGUAUAAGUAAGAUUUUAGAAUUUUUUAAAUUUAUGGGAAUAAUUAUUUGAUUGGGGUGAUUAAAAAAUUUAGUAAACUUUUUUUAUAUAUUUACAUUGAUAAAUGAAUUUUUGAUCCUUUAUUAAAGAUUAAAAGAUAAAAUUACCUUAGGGAUAACAGCGUAAUUUUUUUUUAGAGUUCUAAUCGAAAGAAAAGAUUGCGACCUCGAUGUUGGAUUAAAAGAAAUUAUUGGUGUAGAAGCUAAUAAAUUAGGUCUGUUCGACCUUUAAAAUUUUACAUGAUCUGAGUUUAAACCGGUGUGAG
rnacentral:rRNA from 1 species